AUUGAACGCUGGCGGCAUGCUUUACACAUGCAAGUCGAACGGUAACAGGGUGCUUGCACCGCUGACGAGUGGCGAACGGGUGAGUAAUGCGUCGGAACGUGCCGAGUAGUGGGGGAUAACGCAGCGAAAGUUGUGCUAAUACCGCAUACGUACUGAGGUAGAAAGUGGGGGACCUUCGGGCCUCACGCUAUUCGAGCGGCCGACGUCUGAUUAGCUAGUAGGUGAGGUAAAGGCUCACCUAGGCGACGAUCAGUAGCGGGUCUGAGAGGAUGAUCCGCCACACUGGGACUGAGACACGGCCCAGAGUCCGACGGGAGGCAGCAGUGGGGAAUUGUGGACAAUGGGCGAAAGCCUGAUCCAGCCAUGCCGCGUGUCUGAAGAAGGCCUUCGGGUUGUAAAGGACUUUUGUCAGGGAGGAAAUCCCUAGUGCUAAUAACACUGGGGGAUGACAGUACCUGAAGAAUAAGCACCGGCUAACUACGUGCCAGCCGCCGCAGUAACAC
rnacentral:rRNA from 1 species